GUUGUUCCUUUCCCUUCGAAAAAGGUUACUAAUUUGAGUCUUCUAUGGCUCUCCAGUACUCUCUGCUGGUCAAUUGGGAGACUUCGGGAAAAGUUGACCUGGGGGACCCAAAUCUCCGCCUCAGGGAAUUUAUCUUUCGCUGCUUUGACUGCUCUCUGAAUGUCGCACCCGGGUAGCUGUCUAUUUGCAGAUCUGGCGAUUGGAAGGACGGCAUCCUUGAUAGGUUUGAGUCCCCAAUGAUUAUCCAUUUCCUAUCAACUGUAAGGCCCCACUCAAUCAUUUUUUUGUGUGUAUUCAAGUGUCUAGUAGGUUUAUUUUUUGGGGUGAGUGUUUGUUUAGGUGGGGUUAAUGUUGGUGAAGUGGUUGUUUGUAUUGGUAUGAUUGUUGGUAUAGUCGAUCCUUGUUGUGGUGAAUGAGUAGGUGUCAUUGUUGUUGUUAUUUUCACAGGUAAG